GCUGGAACGCUAGUUCCAGUGGAGCCGUCCUUGAAAUACCACCCUGGUAAUGUUGAGGUUCUAACUCUGUCCCGUGAUCCGGGACGAGGACCGUGUCUGGUGGGUAGUUUGACUGGGGCGGUCUCCUCCUAAAGAGUAACGGAGGAGUACGAAGGUGCGCUCAGCGUGGUCGGAAAUCACGCGUAGAGUAUAAAGGCAAAAGCGCGCUUAACUGCGAGACCCACAAGUCGAGCAGGUACGAAAGUAGGUCUUAGUGAUCCGGUGGUUCUGUAUGGAAGGGCCAUCGCUCAACGGAUAAAAGGUACUCUGGGGAUAACAGGCUGAUACCGCCCAAGAGUUCAUAUCGACGGCGGUGUUUGGCACCUCGAUGUCGGCUCAUCUCAUCCUGGGGCUGAAGCAGGUCCCAAGGGUAUGGCUGUUCGCCAUUUAAAGAGGUACGCGAGCUGGGUUUAGAACGUCGUGAGACAGUUCGGUCCCUAUCUACCGUGGGCGCUGGAAAUUUGAGAGGAUCUGCUCCUAGUACGAGAGGACCAGAGUGGACGAACCUCUGGUGUACCGGUUGUGACGCCAGUCGCAUCGCCGGGUAGCUAUGUUCGGAAGGGAUAACCGCUGAAAGCAUCUAAGCGGGAAGCCUACCUCAAGAUAAGAUUUCCCUAGGACUUUAUGUCCUCUAAAGAGCCGUUCGAGACUAGGACGUUGAUAGGUUGGAUGUGGAAGCAUAGUGAUAUGUGAAGCUGACCAAUACUAAUUGCUCGUGAGGCUUGACUAUACAACACCCAAGCAGUUG
rnacentral:rRNA from 1 species